CAGCAGCCGCGGGAAUACAGAGGAUGCAAGCGUUAUCCGGAAUGAUUGGGCGUAAAGCGUGCGCAGGCGGCUUUGCAAGACAGAUGUGAAAUCCCCGGGCUCAACCUGGGAACUGCAUUUGUGACUGCAAGGCUAGAGCGCGGCAGAGGGAGAUGGAAUUCCGCGUGUAGCAGUGAAAUGCGUAGAUAUGCGGAGGAACACCGAUGGCGAAGGCGAUCUCCUGGGCCUGCACUGACGCUCAUGCACGAAAGCGUGGGGAGCAAACAGGAUUAGAUACCCCCGUAGUCCCUGUCUCUUAUAC
rnacentral:rRNA from 1 species